CCAUCUCUCUUGGUUACCAAUGUGUGUCUACAUAAGAACUUCCUUAUGUCUCAUCAUCCUGCCCAAGUCACCACAAGCUAGCAUUAACAGCAAAAGAAUGGUUUCCAGGAGGAGGAUGGAUUGUGACAUCAGUGAAUGGAUCAGUUUACCUAACUACUGUGGGAGAACCCAAAAUAUUUCUUCUGAUACAGCCGUGAUUAAAAGGCAUUGCUACUCCAACACUUCUUAGGCAAUAAGGAAGGGCCAGCGCCUCAUCUUUUGCCCGAGGCUAAGGAGGCACCCUCCACUGCAUAAACCAAGAAUAUUAAAGAAAUAAAUUGAGUACUUCUGCUGCACUUUGCAUUUAAAACUGCUGUGCAAAAAUAUCACCUAUCUGAGGAAGAGCUUUUGCAAACGCUGAAUAAAGAUAAAGAACUGCCUGCAAGCAAAGAACAAAGAGCGGAGUAGUAACAGAAAUAACCAGUUACAUCAGUUAAGAGAGAAGACUGCAAACAAGAGUAAUGAGAUGUAGCAACUGGACAAAUCAGUAACUGUAUUUAGUCUCAAAAGAACAGAAGUGAAUAGUGUUCUGUAU